ensembl:lncRNA
CAAGUAGUCUGUAAAAAACUCAAAAACAGCUACAAAGUCUGGUAAUGCCCUGUAAUCUACAUCAUCUUGUUUUUUUCCUCUGAGUGUUGCUUGAGAAUAAGCUAACCUUGAGAGAAACUCUUCAAGUGGGCCACUUCAGUUCUUUCAGAAAUGUUAAGAAGUCUGAAUUUGAGAAUUUUUUUUUAAUCCAAUGCCUCUUGGUAUUGAAUCCUUCAUGUCCUUCCCAAAGUAUAUGUGAAGCCUUUGUGGAAGCCAUGGAUAAUCUGGAAAAUGGUAUUAUUAGGAGGAAGGCAGCAUUUUGAUUUAUCUUCUUUGCAUUCAAGUCAUACACUGUGGUCUUUGUUAUUUCAAUAGCUGACAACUACAAGGACCAGAAUGAAGAGCAGGGAGAAGGCUGAGCCAGCGAUGACAGAAGGAGAGCUAAUAUAUUGGCACAGGGGCUUUGCAAUGGGUGCAUUAUCCUCCAGUGGCAGCAGAUUGCCCUCUCAAGAUCUACUGUAUCUUUGAGCCAUUGCUGAGCAGUGAGGUUGUGUGGGCUUGAUGAGAAAAAUGCCUUUUAAAAAUGGACUGUGGGACUAUUUGUGUUCUUACAGCCCAUGCAGCAGCAGUGCAUAUUUAAAACACAGUGGUGGUCUCUUCCUGGCACCUGUGAAUUCUGAGGAAUGUGAAUUACUGAUCUGCUUUGGAAAGUUUGUACACACACUGAAGAAGAAGAAGAAGAUAAAAACCAGCAGCCUUACAGGAAUAUGAAGGCCUCUGCUCGUACUCCCUCAGUACAAGGAAAAUGUAAGCAAAUGUAUGAAAAAAAUGUCCAGUGUUUGCAGACUUUUUCUCCAUUUCCCAUAGAAUUAGAGAAGAGUGGGUUAAGAAAGAUCUAAAAGGGUCAGACUGAAAUUUGCAGGCAAAAACAUUUGGUGGACCAUUCAAAAGGAAGCUAAAAAUAAGGGAAUAGAUUAAAAACAAAACUACUCACUAAUUAUUUGGAAAAAAUUAAAUGUUCCUCACAGUUGUGAGUGUUCUCUGUGCUUUGUGCUUUUCCCCCAUGACAGGAUGCCCCAGAGCCCUGAUCACUGCAAAUCAGUCUUACACCAGUGCUUGCCCCUUUCUUCUUUUGCAGAGGGAUGUAGAUCUGUAAAGUAAGAAGCACCCAAGUGGACAACCUAUUUAAUUGUGUUUAAUUGACUUAGUUAUUCCAAGACAGUACAGUGCUGUAUUUUCUGAUACAGGACAUGCAGAAAUUCCUUUCACUUUCAGCCAUUAUAAAAUUAAAUAUUCAUUUUUUGCUUUGUGACAUCAUAACAGAAAAUGACAUGAUACUAAUACUAUUCUACAUUGAGUAUGCGCAAACAGGUAAAGCAAGAUGUAAAUCCUCUUUAACCUAAAAAGGUCUUUUUCAAAUUUCUUACAAGGAAUUUCUACUCAUGACAUUUUUUUUUCUCAGAACACUGAUAGCAAAACUAUCACAUGAUAUAUAUAUGUUUGAUAUUGUUUUGUUUUGGAAUUCACAAUGAGUGGGACUCUCAAAAACAACCUGGGAUGAUCUCACUCAAAUCUUACUGGCAUUGCAUGUCUGCAAGGACAUGACACUUUGGAAAAAAUCCACCUCAGAAUCACUUAAGCUGCCACAUGACAGUAAAUCUAAUUUCAAGGAGCAUUGUCGAGAAACAGAACACCACAGCCACAUGACAUAAAGCCCUGAAGCUGUACAAUGUCCCCCUGUCAGUCCAAGUUGUUAAAAAAUACUAAAGGAGAACCUUUUGUUUUAGCAGGAUUUAGGUCAGAAAGGCAUAAUUUGUUUGUUUAUAGCUGGGAUAAAGCUGAAAUGCAGCUCAAGAUGUAAGCUCCACGUUGCUGGGGCUGAUGUUGGUGGUUCUGUAUGGCAGUAGGAACGUCAGAGUCCUUGCAUUUAGUGCUAUGAGAAUAAGGGCUCACAGCUGGGUGGGCAUAUGCUGUAGGGGUCUGUAAGGGCAAUGGAGAGCUUUACCCUUCUGCAGCAAGAACAAAGAGAACAAAAGCAUCUUGUAUCCAAAGGGGUGUAGCAGGUUCAGCUAUUAUUUUGCCUAUCAAAAAAAAAAAGGAGUUCUUGGGAGCUUUGUGGUAGCAUGACAUGGGUGAAGGAGUGCCUUUUUCCUGAUUUUAUUUUGGGUCAAAACAGAAGAAUAAUGUUGUGACUCCAGUGCUGUGUUACUGUAGAUACUCAAUGCAUCUUUAGAAUUUAAUCUACUUUACUGACUACAAAAAGAUCACCUAAUGCAGUAGAAUCAUGCCAACUAUCAAACAAUAAUCUGAGCAGUCAGCGAGCUGGAGUAUGAUCUGCUCUGUUUGUCAAAUUUGUGGAGUUAGGGCACUUUCUUGCUUUCCCUCUGCCUAGAUCCAUUGUAAUAAAUUUGGAUUGCGUGUCA